CGGGGCUUUCGGGCUCUGGUAUGAUGGAAACCAAUUUAAUCGCAAUGGCUUGAACCGGGCAAAAGUCGUAACAAGGUAUCUGUAGGUGAACCUGCAGAUGGAUCAUCGU
rnacentral:rRNA from 1 species